CAAUAUUUUGCACGCUGCACAAGCUAGCUUAGGUGUAUUCAUCACCCACUCUUCAAACUUCCCCUGUGCCGUUCUACUUCCUAUUUAUUCUACCUUCCUCCUCCUCACAACAACGCUUGCGGCGACGGCACACACGACGGAGACAGUUUCUUCUCACAUUACACGAUAUCAAACAUGGAGAUGCAGUGUGCAAUCAAGAACAAUGUUACUGAGGUAUUUGUACCGUUUAAUAAUUGUUUAUGUAAUGCAAGCUUUCUUUGUCCAUGGUGCUCAGAUUCUACCAAGAUAUCAAACAUGGAGAUGCAGUGUGCAAUCAAGAACAAUGUUACUGAGUUAAUUAGAAACACUCCCAUGGUUUAUCUGAACAAAGUUGUGGAAGGCUGUGUUGCUCAAAUUGCUGCCAAGUUGGAGUCAAUGGAACCUUGUUCAAGCGUCAAAGAUAGGAUAGCAUUGAGUAUGAUUGAGGAUGCUGAGGAUAAGGGUCUGAUUACACCAGGGAAGACUGUUCUUGUCGAGACUACAAGUGGGAACACCGGAAUUGGGUUGGCCUUCAUUGCAGCGCUUAAAGGUUACAGGCUAAUUUUAGCAAUGCCAGCUUCAAUGAGUCUCGAGAGAAGAAUUUUGCUCCGCGCUUUUGGAGCUGAGCUGCAUAUCACAGAUCCUGCCAAGGGGUUUAAUGGUAGUCAUAAAAAAGCCGAGGAGUUGGAGAAGGAGAUACCUGAUGCUUUCAUGAUUCGUCAAUUUGAAAAUCCUGCAAACCCAAAGAUUCACUAUGAAACUACUGGCCCUGAGAUAUGGAGAGACUCUGGAGGGAAAGUUGAUGCCCUUGUAGCAGGUAUAGGAACUGGUGGUACAAUAACAGGUGCAGGGAAAUUCCUCAAGGAGAGAAACCCGGAAAUCAAGGUAUAUGGAGUGGAACCAGUUGAAAGUGCAGUAUUGAGUGGAGGACAGCCGGGCAUGCAUCUGAUUCAGGGAAUUGGUGCUGGCAUUGUUCCUGAAGUGCUGGAUGUUAAUCUACUUGAUGAAAUUAUUCAGGUUACAAGUGAAGAAGCUAUAGAAACUGCUAAACAGUUAGCACUAAAAGAAGGUUUGCUGGUUGGGAUUUCGUCUGGAGCAGCAGCCGCAGCAGCAAUAAAACUGGGAAAGAGGCCAGAAAAUUCCGGCAAACUCAUCGCUGUGGUGUUCCCUAGUUUCGGCGAGCGGUACCUUUCCUCUCAGUUGUUUGAGUCUUAUAGACAUGAGGCAGAGAAGAUGACAUUUGAUUAGAGGAAACUGUUCUGAUAAUAGAAACAAAACAAAAAAAGAUGCUUAAAUGCAAGGUAUCUUGAAAAAGGAAUGUGCUCCCUCUUUGUAUUGACUCUUGGAAUGAAGUGAUGAUUGAAGAGGCCAAAGGUGAUGAAAGUUUGAUGGUUGACCCUCCCGAACUAAAGCGAUAUGAGGCAUGGUUGAUGGCUCGACAGAAGCCAUCGGGAAAUUUUACAUCUGAGGCAACAAACUUAGUAGCAUCUAAGAUUAUAUUCACAGACACCUCAUCAUAUGAAAAAGAGUCAAUUGAUCACAUCCGACAACUUUGGGCUCAAUUCUUUUUGCAAAAGGUUGAAGAGCAAGAGAACCAGGAAAAGAAAGAUUUAAUGACAAAACAGAAGCGAUUAAAAAAAACUUAUAUAUAGAUAUA